rnacentral:rRNA from 1 species
CGUACACUCCUACGGGAGGCAGCAGUGGGGAAUAUUGGACAAUGGGCGCAAGCCUGAUCCAGCCAUGCCGCGUGAGUGAUGAAGGCCCUAGGGUUGUAAAGCUCUUUCACCGGUGAAGAUAAUGACGGUAACCGGAGAAGAAGCCCCGGCUAACUUCGUGCCAGCAGCCGCGGUAAUACGAAGGGGGCUAGCGUUGUUCGGAUUUACUGGGCGUAAAGCGCACGUAGGCGGACUAUUAAGUCAGGGGUGAAAUCCCGGGGCUCAACCCCGGAACUGCCUUUGAUACUGGUAGUCUUGAGUUCGAGAGAGGUGAGUGGAAUUCCGAGUGUAGAGGUGAAAUUCGUAGAUAUUCGGAGGAACACCAGUGGCGAAGGCGGCUCACUGGCUCGAUACUGACGCUGAGGUGCGAAAGCGUGGGGAGCAAACAGGAUUAGAAACCCCUGUAGUCCCAUGA